UUUUUUUUUUUGAAAUUUUUAUACACACGCACCCGCCACACACCCACGCACUCCGUAGUUGGAUUUCACCACCUAUGGGUUUCAAACCCAAGACCUCGUGUUGAAACUCCUCAGAGUCUACCACUCAGGCAAGGACUGGAACCCACUUAUUUCUCAAUGAGCUGUUGGACUUUGGAUCCUAGCACUUGAUGGUCCAUUCUUUUCUAACCGAUUGUUUGGUGCCUCCAUGGUUUUAGGAUUGAUGAGUCCACCUACUGCCUCAAUCUCCAACAGUAGGUCCCCUGUGCAACCAUGAUUGUCCAAUACCCUCUCCCUACUCCAUCCUCCUCUUACCCUGGCCUGUGUCUGUUUCUAUGAUAGCUGUCCAACAUUUCCCUUUCUAAUAUUUCUGUCAACCAAACACCAUAUUUACUAAUUUCAAGAUCUGUAACUCCAGGAUGUCAACCAUCUCAAAAGAUAAGGGAGCUGCUAUUUACUCUCACCGUGACUGGUUAAUAAAACUAUCCUUUUCUACUUUUGGCUACUGAAACUGCAAAGACUGGAUGCCUUCAUAAAGUUCGGUUAAAUGGUUGUUUACAAGGUGAAAAUUUAAUCUUUGCGAGACAUGGAUGUGCUUGUUUAACCAUUUUAUCGAGGCUGACUUUUAUGAUGAAUGAAGGCUUUCUCAUCGUAUAUUUACGUGCAUGUGGCAUUGUAUAUGUAUGUGAGAAAUUCUCCAACGCCCUCAGAGCGCUACAAGUUAUAGUGCUCCUGUCUGCUUUGAGUAACUUGGUAUUGCCUAACAGAAGUGAUUGUUUAGAAUCCUAAGCGACACAUGAUUUUAUUAUUGUUAUUUUUUGAGAUUGUCAGAUUGGUGUGAUAUUUGCAUCCCAUGAAAUAUAUGGAUCCAAUGUUCUGUCUAGGUCCCAAUCAUUUGAAAUGUUUUUUGUGCAAAUGCAACUAGUAGCACUGCAGCUUAUAGUGCACUAGGAGCACUUGAGCAUAUCUCUCUCUGGAUAUAAUGAAAAUGUAAAGAAUACCAUCUUCACUUGGUAGUUGUGGAAGCCUCCAUGUAUAUCCUGAUAUUAUUGGUCUUGUCUCAGAUUCCACACCUGAGACCUGCAGAAUAUAAGAGGUCAAGAUUGUCAAGAAACAAGAGGACAGUCAACCGUGCUUGUGGUGGGGUUCUUUCUGGAGGAGCUGUUAGAGAGAGGAUCAUUAGAGCCUUCCUAGUGGAGGAGCAAAAGAUUGUGAAGAAGGUGUUAAAGAUCCAAAAGGCCAAGGAAAAGCUGUCCACCAAGAGCCGAAGAGGAUAGAUGAAAUAAGCACAAAGCUUUUGGGUUUUUGUGAGCUCGAAAGAAAUUUUGACUUGAUGAUGAUGAAAUGGUGAGAUGUUUGAGUGCCUUCUUUAAAGGGUAUUGAUAUCUUCUUGCAAAUUUGGUUUUGGACCUCUGUUUUAGUACUUCAUUCCAUGUCGCAAAGCCUUUUGUUUUCAGAUUGUUUCUUCUUUUAAGAAUGUUUGCUCA